GCGAAGAGUACUUAGCAUGCUUGAAGGUGACCGCUGAUCAACAGCGUGGAAUCAGGCGAUUAAUAUUCACAGAACACGCCUGUGCCCAGUGACAUGAUUGUAAAACAUUCUGGAAGAAAACCUUGUGGUGCUUUCUGGGAGCGGUCUAUGCAACGGUCUCUUUCAAUUUUAAAUUGAGCUUCAGGGAAGAUUAAAUACUCAGGAGGAAGAUGAGCCGGGGCUGGUAAACAGACAGCAGCGCUGGCUGGUCUCACCAGGUGAAACGGCUCUAUCCCCUCCACACUCACUGCCCACAUCUAGAGCUGUGUCACCACCAUCUAUACCUUCGUUCAAUCAAAGGAGACAAAUAAAAAUAACUGCACUUACCUUUCGCAUUAUGAGUCAUUCAAACAAUAGACUAGGGGUGUGAAGGGCAUUUUAGUCAAAUGUACUGAGGACAAAAUACGAUUCAGGGAUGAAAACAAGUAUUUUAUAAUUUGGCAAAUCUCUGUUGUUCUAAGUGACACCACGUAGCUGCAUCAUGAAAAUAAGUGGCACAAAGUCCUGCCAGGUGGUUCAGCAGAACUCCUUCCCAACCUCUGCACGCACACUUGAUAAUUACGCCUCAUUCAACCUCCUCCUCUCUUCAAAGUUCCUUUCAGAAAUGGUCAGCAGGGAAAUCAAUUUCCAGAAUUAGGCCUUUAGUUAUUAACCACAGGGUGGAUUCUCAUACGUGUAAGAUGGUUAAUACACUGCUCUCCUUGAAGCCUAGUAGAUUCCUCUAAUUCUAUAAAGAUCAGAUUUAAAAAUGUUUUCCUCUAAUAAAUCUCUAUUUUCAGAAAGCACUGCAAAUCUUGUUUGAUCCAGCAAUGAAGAAAAAGUCAGGAACAAA